GGGGAGAAGCGUGGAGGUACUACGGUGAGCCUCAGUUUUCAGAGAACAAGGUCACACAGCCAGGAAGCCACCGUCAUGGCUGGAAUCUGAGGACUGGGGAGUCACGUACAGGUAACCGCCGUGCCAGCCCUCUCCCAGAGAUUUCACGACAGCCCUAAGGUGCUAAUGACAGUCCUAUAGUGGCUGACCCUUAGGGGGCACCUGUAUGAGCCAAGCUCCAUGCGCUCCGAGUGCCUCAGAUAGGUUGUCUUCAGAGGACGUGUCUACUGUUACGCCCGCUUUACCGAAGAGGAAAUUGAGGCACAGAGAAGGCACAAUCACCUGGAAAAGAGCAGACAGGGAGUGCAGCUGAACCUUGAGCCCUCUGAGCACCUAGCCUGUGCCAGGGUGUGUGCUGGGCACCGGGGUGACAGCUGUGACCACAGCAGCCCCACCAACAUGAAAGCCUCAGGGAAAAGGAAGUAAAGCAGGUCCCCAUGACUGGGAAGGAGCUGUGGGGCAGGGGGCUGGUCCCUCAGUUGGGGUGUUCAGGGAGGGCUGCUCGGAGGAGGGGACCUGGCUGAGACCUGAGGGCUAAGAAGGAGCCAACCUCGCAAAGUUCUUGGGGAAGGGUGUCUCAGGCAGAGGGAACAGCAAGCACAAACAAACGUCUCGAGACGGGAACAAAAAUUUGGUGUGUUUGAGGAACAGAAAAAAAGGAAGUGAGAAUGAGAAGGGAGAGCAGGAGGGAAGGGUGAGAGGGUGGGGAGGGGAGGGGCGGGGAGAGGGAGAGGAAAACAAGCUUUGGACAGGGGGAGGGUUUCUGGGUGGCCCCAGCAGCCUCAGAAGGGGAGGGAGGGCUGUGGGACGUGGUCUCCAAGGUAGGGUUCACUGUCACCCUCUCCUCCUGGCUCUUGAGGAGUGCAUACACCUCUCCCCCUUCCCCACUCAGGCUGUCUGCCCUGUCCUCUUCCCCUGCAGUAUCUAUAGUCUGACCCCAGCUCCCCCGUUGCUACAGAGCUCAUGGCUUUCUUCUGAGCGGGAAGACAGGGCUCUUGUAUAUAGUUCCUGCCUGUAGGCAUUCAUUCAUUAAUUCAUUUAUCCACUCACCCAUAAAGUGUUUUUUAGUCUCAGGUCUUUUGCUUUUGCAGGUACCUGUGCCUGGCACAUUGUCUUCUAUUCCUCAGGCUCUGCUUCCCAUGGUGCCUCUUCCAAGAUGCCUUCCCUGACUACCCCCGGCUAAUUUAGCCCCUUAUACCCUGUUAGCAACUGUACUGCUCUUCAUGAUAAAACAGGAUAGGCUGGUGCUCCCAGGGGCUCUCUCUAUACGUAAGAGAUAUAUUAGCCCAAUGGGCAUUCAUUUCCCUUCUCGUUUUCUUUUGGGAACCAUCCUUUCCUUCUCUUUGUGCAAUUUGUUGAUGUCAGCCCCAUUCCCCAGCUCCACAAAUGAGCACAUCACCCAGGGAAAGCCAAUGAGAGACGGCUGCAGGACUUUCGCUGGAGCUACUGGAACGCUGAGUUUUGUGCUGCCGUGGUUGCUUACCUGGUAGGCUGGCAGGCUGGCACUGCCAGGGGAGGAGAGGGCCUGCCUGCAAACGAAAUCAAUAUCGAGGGAAGAAAAGGUGAAAGAAGGAGAGAUGUACAGUCCUGAGAUUGUUGGAGCACCUGGAUCCAGCCAUACCUGAAAUCCAAACUCCCUCCCGCUGGACUUUUUCACUGUAAGAAUCAGUAAGUUCCCUUGGUGCUUAAGCUAGUUUGGGUUUCUGUAGCCUCCAAGAUAACCAAGCCUCAAAGAUAUGCAGGCAGCCCAGCUUAGGUACUUUCCCCUUGAGGGAUGUGGGCAGGUGUUUCCCUCGCUCAGAAGUCACGUCCCCUCUAGAGGCUCCUUUUCUACAAGGCCUGAAUGUUUGGGGUUCGCUCCACCUGAGGCAAAAAAGCAGAAGCAAAGUGCGAGGCCAGAGGUGGGGUGCCUACAGAAACAGCCAUGCGACCAGCAGCAGGAAGUGGGGAUCUGCAUUAUUACUGUGCUAACCCAUUUCCCUGCUUCUUGGUAGGCUGAGCCCUGAUUGUCUUAGCUUGUUUAUUAGCUCUAUCCAUGUGUUUCGGGGAGGUGUCUAAGCCAGUCAUAGUUCCCCAGUCUCCCGGUCAGUGACUGGUCCUGGAAGGAGCCGUGACUCACUCCUAGACAAGAACAUGUGAGGAGGAAACGAGGGCUGGCACUGUGGCAGCUAUGUUGCCGCCUUAAGGGAAGACGCUGCCCACGUGCCGAGGAAUCUUCGUCCGACACCGUUGAACGUGAACACCGUUCACAAGAACACCGUUCAACGGGUGGGCUGACCGCUGUACAACCUCCCUACCUUGGUGAGAUUAGCUGUUUGGGAAAAUAAUAAAGGCCUUUAGUUUUCAAGGUAUUUGGAAUCUCUUGUUCCCUUACCUGCAGCCAGCAGCGGCCUACGUGAUACACCCAGUGUGCGUGGUGCACACGGGACGACAUGGGGACGUCAACAGUAUGGCCCGUUCGGUGCCCAGAGCACUGCCCCCACCAGACACGGUCCUGGCUGUCAGCGUGAGAGCCCCCCCAUUUCCUCCCGGCCCAGUCACUGCUGGCAUCAUAGUGUUGAUUAUGCUUUCCAUAUUCUUCAGAGGGGAACAGUCGUUAUGUUUUAAACUCUAGCCACCAACCCAUAAAGUUUGGUGAAGGUCACUCCCAGAACGUACGCGUCAUCGACCCUGAGAAUUUGACAAUGAAGGUAAAAAAAUAUCAGAGCCAUGACUGCCUUUGGGGGUGGGGUGGGGAUGACCCAAGCAGGUAACUUUGUGGGGUGAUGGAACUGUCCUUUGUGUCAAUAGGGGUUGGUAUGACCCGUCUAUGUGCCAGUCAAAACCCAGUAACCUGUGUUGAAGAUUUGCGCAUUUCAUUGUAUGCAAAUUUCACCUCACAAGAGAACUGUGGGGAGCCUGGGUGGGGUGGCUCAGUGGGUUAAGCAGCUGACUUCAGCUCAGGUCAUGAUCUGAGCCAGUUCGAGCCCCUCGUUGGGCUCUGGGCUGACAGCUCAGAACCUGGAGCCUACUUUACAUUCUGUGUCUCCCUCUCUCUGCCCCUCCCCUGCUCAUGCUCUGUCUCUCUUUCUCUCCCAAAAAUAAAUAAACAUUAAAAAAAAUUUUUUUAAAAGAA